AAUUGGCGGUGUCGAUAUAACCUGAAGAGCAUCCUCGUACAAUUGCUUAAUUUAUGGACAUGGCCCGAUGUUCAAACUAUAGUUAACCAAUGAAGAAGAAAAAAUUCGAGGUUCGUGGGUGUUGAAGGGUGAAAAUUAAUUGAAUAAAAAUAUUAAUUUAAAAAUUAAAUUGACGCCAAAAAAUCUGAGAUGGAGAAGGAGAUCCAUGGGUGUUGAAGGGUGAAAUCUAAGAUGGGGUAGGCGAAUAAGUGGAUAUGGGGUGAGGUUUUAAUUCACACUAAUAGAAAAUUAACACAUAAUAUUUUUUCUUAAUCGAAAUAGGUGUUAGUUUUUAGGGUAUGGGUGGGCCAAAAAGUUAACUUUAAGGGCGUAAAUGGGCCAGAAUUUUAACGGUGAGGGCAAGUUUUACAAAAUAGGUGGACGGAGGGUAUUUUUAAACUUAAGCGAAUAGUCAGGGGGCAGUUUUGGCCCUUUUCCGUUCAUUGUAUUCAUUAUCUUUUAUUUAGUGUAAUUCAAUGUAUCUCGCUGUAUUCCAUGUAUUUUAUUGUAUUCACUGUCUUUUUCCAUUAUGUUUCAAUAUAU
rnacentral:lncRNA from 1 species